rnacentral:rRNA from 1 species
GACGAACGCUGGCGGCGUGCUUAACACAUGCAAGUCGAGCGGUAAGGCCCUUUCGGGGGUACACGAGCGGCGAACGGGUGAGUAACACGUGGGUGACCUGCCCUCAGCUCUGGGAUAAGCCUGGGAAACCGGGUCUAAUACUGGAUAUGACUCCAUGACGCAUGUUGUGGGGUGGAAAGCCUUGUGCGGCUGAGGAUGGGCCCGCGGCCUAUCAGCUUGUUGGUGGGGUGANGGCCUACCAAGGCGACGACGGGUAGCCGGCCUGAGAGGGCGACCGGCCACACUGGGACUGAGACACGGCCCAGACUCCUACGGGAGGCAGCAGGUGGGAAUCUUGCGCAAAGGUC